GAUGAACGCUAGCGGCAGGCCUAACACAUGCAAGUCGAGGGGUAGAGGAAGCUUGCUUCCUUGAGACCGGCGCACGGGUGCGUAACGCGUAUGCAAUCUACCUUUUACAGAGGGAUAGCCCAGAGAAAUUUGGAUUAAUACCUCAUAGUAUUUUCGAAUGGCAUCAUUUGAUUAUUAAAGUACCAACGGUAAAAGAUGAGCAUGCGUCCUAUUAGCUAGAUGGUAAGGUAACGGCUUACCAUGGCAACGAUAGGUAGGGGUCCUGAGAGGGAGAUCCCCCACACUGGUACUGAGACACGGACCAGACUCCUACGGGAGGCAGCAGUGAGGAAUAUUGGACAAUGGGCGCAAGCCUGAUCCAGCCAUGCCGCGUGCAGGAAGACGCAUCUAUGGUGUGUAAACUGCUUUUGUACGGGAAGAAACACUCCCUCGUGAGGGAGCUUGACGGUACCGUAAGAAUAAGGAUCGGCUAACUCCGUGCCAGCCGCCGCAGUAAGAC
rnacentral:rRNA from 1 species